GGGGAAUUUUCCGCAAUGGGCGAAAGCCUGACGGAGCAAGACCGCGUGAGGGAGGAAGGCUCUUGGGUUGUAAACCUCUUUUGUCAGGGAAGAACACAAUGACGGUACCUGAAGAAUCAGCAUCGGCUAACUCCGUGCCAGCAGCCGCGGUAAUACGGAGGAUGCAAGCGUUAUCCGGAAUUAUUGGGCGUAAAGCGUCCGCAGGUGGCACUUCAAGUCUGCUGUCAAAGACCGGGGCUUAACCCUGGAAAGGCAGUGGAAACUGAAGCGCUAGAGUGUGGCAGGGGUAGAGGGAAUUCCCGGUGUAGCGGUGAAAUGCGUAGAGAUCGGGAAGAACAUCGGUGGCGAAAGCGCUCUACUGGGCCACAACUGACACUCAGGGACGAAAGCUAGGGGAGCGAAUGGGAUUAGAUACCCCAG
rnacentral:rRNA from 1 species